CUUCUCUGGAGACACUGACUCAUACUUCAUUAGUAGUCAUCAUCAGGCUCAAGGAUUGGAACAGUAAAUGACUGAAGCCGUUUUGAACUCACCAGCUGAUUCAGAUCCAUGAGUGGUAUGGGAGCCCCCCCUGGGGUCGAAUGCACCUUGGUCUCCUGUAACGAGCAAUCAGGAAGCCUGCUGAGAUGGUAUUUGAAGACGUACCUGUUGUGGUGACUUGCAUUAGUGGCUGAGCUGGAUGCCAAGCAACCCACUUGCAAAGGAAGAAAAUCAGGCACAGAAGGGAUGGCCACAACCUCAUGAACAAAAUUAAGGAUAGAAACAAGUCUCAGUAGCAGGCUCCGAUGCCAGGCAAUAAAACGGUGUGAGCUUCUGCCUGUUUGGGUUGAGGUUCCUUCUGGCAAGUGAUACCAAGUUGUAAAACAGGAAAACUGACACUCCAGCAAGAUGUACUAAGUUUAACUCAAGGCUUCAUCUUUUCCUUCACACAACUUCAAACCUUCCAUGGGAACAGAAGGCGCAGUUUAAGAGAUGGACAAACUAAUACACAGAGAGGGGAAGAAGUAAAGAAACAUGCCCAAAUUCCCAAUGAAGUAGAGUUAAGGUAAGGCUAAGGCAUGAAUAGCCACGGACCACAGAACAUUGCUGAGAGAACACCAAUGUCUCCAUGCUGCAAACCACUACAGAGAGGCAAGCCUCCUCAGAUAUCUGUGUGUUUCUCCUGAGAAACAGAGACCUCUGUGAUUCAGGAUCCACUUUGACUCAAGAGGCUAAUACUAAAUGGCUGAUUGCAUCUCUCAAACAAGUCUUUCCAGCUGGAAAGAAAUCAAGAAUGUUUUCCGUUGGGCCCUCUGGUCUCCAAUAAAUCUCCUGUAUCAUGUAAUGAAUAAACUGUCCCAAGGCCCUCCCUCUGAGAUAAAUGGGCUCAAUAAAAAACA